GAUGAACGCUGGCGGCGUGCCUAAUACAUGCAAGUCGAGCGAACAGAUGAGGAGCUUGCUCCUCUGACGUUAGCGGCGGACGGGUGAGUAACACGUGGAUAACCUACCUAUAAGACUGGGAUAACUACGGGAAACCGGAGCUAAUACCGGAUAAUAUAUUGAACCGCAUGGUUCAAUAGUGAAAGACGGUUUUGCUGUCACUUAUAGAUGGAUCCGCGCCGCAUUAGCUAGUUGGUAAGGUAACGGCUUACCAAGGCAACGAUGCGUAGCCGACCUGAGAGGGUGAUCGGCCACACUGGAACUGAGACGCGGUCCAGACUCCUACGGGAGGCAGCAGUAGGGAAUCUUCCGCAAUGGGCGAAAGCCUGACGGAGCAACGCCGCGUGAGUGAUGAAGGUCUUCGGAUCGUAAAACUCUGUUAUUAGGGAAGAACAAAUGUGUAAGUAACUAUGCACGUCUUGACGGUACCUAAUCAGAAAGCCACGGCUAACUACGUG
rnacentral:rRNA from 1 species